CUGUUAGUUUAUAAGGUGCCACAGGACUCUUUGCUGCUUUUACAGAUCCCAACUAACAUGGCUACCCCUCUGAUACUUAAUCAGAAAAGGUUAGAUGCUAAAUGAUUGUCAACAUCAGGUAAUGUUUUUUGGGGUGAUUGUCCAUACACCAUCCUUGAUAGAAGUUGGUAAUCUCUUCUACCCAAAUAAGGUGUUGAUAAUCUCCAUCAACCCUGACCCUAACUCUUCCCUCAUGGCCUUCACCAGAAGAAAAGAGAUGGGUCCAUAGCACUUGUGCGAUAAAGUAUCCCUAGUAUCUCACCAACAACAGUGAUCUAAACUAGAGAAGAGAAGAAUUAAUGUUUGUCUCUUCCAAAUAUUGUUCUAUGUCCAUGAAAGCAGGCAUUCAGUCUGAAUCUGCUUGAUUUUAUCUAGAAAGUAACACAGUUUCUUCACAGUGAAAGGAAGUCAUGUAGUUUACCGAAUGAAGAGAGCUAUGUUUAAUUAGGCUGUCUGUUAUUCAAGGGAAGUCCACUGUCAAAUUUAUCAGGCACAAUUGUAAAUGUAAAGAAACUUUACCUUCGCCACAGUCAUGGAAUAAACUACAUAAAAAAAAAUCUUUUCAUGCAACUAUUGAGAUUUAGAAUGUGAAUUCAACUAUCGGAGCCCUAGUCACGUUCCCUCCAUCUUCAGUUAUUGCAUGUCACCUGUAAAUCAUUGUGACCUAUGAGGACAAAACUAUGGAAAAGAAUGCGUAGGGGCAACUAAGCAGUAACUGAGGACAAAAGAUCACGGUAAGGUCCUAUCAAGUAUUAAGUAGAAUGGUUGAUUUUCCUCAGACUCUGAAAAUAAUCAGUUUUCAAUAAUCUCAGGCGGAAGACCAUCAAAACACUCUGUGCACCAAUCUCAGAUCACAGGAGAUAAUGAGUAGCCAAUGAGCAGAAUCAAAUUUCCAGUUGCCCUACUUUUAUUCUCUGCUCCAACACUAGAUCAAAAAUAUGUGGCCAGUAUAUGAGCUGAGCCAGCAGUCAUCCAGGUUUUAGUGGUGGCUACAAAAUCUCAAAAUGUCUCAGAAGAAUGGUAGGUAAAAUGGAAAUUAGGAGGAGUGAAAGUAAAUCUCAAGAUCAGAUAUUGGAAGCCCGAAGCCUGCAAGAGAAUGGGUCUGCUAGAACUCCAGGGAGCAAAGGGUACAGCUAAGAUAAAGAUAUUGCAGAGAGGUAACUGAUUUAUGUGCAUCAGUGUUCAUAAUAUAGAGUGUGUUGGGUAGGGUACGCACACUAUAAUAUAGCAGAAAAAGAGAUAAUUAGAUCCAGAGUUUGUAAGGUGAAGCUAGACAGAUUCAGUCUAGAUAUAAGGCACUUU